CUUUAUUGGAGAGUUUGAUCCUGGCUCAGGACGAACGCUGGCGGCGUGCCUAAUACAUGCAAGUCGAGCGAGUCCCUUCGGGGGCUAGCGGCGGACGGGUGAGUAACACGUAGGCAACCUGCCCGUAAGCUCGGGAUAACAUGGGGAAACUCAUGCUAAUACCGGAUAGAGUCUUCUCUCGCAUGAGAGGAGACGGAAAGGUGGCGCAAGCUACCACUUACGGAUGGGCCUGCGGCGCAUUAGCUAGUUGGUGGGGUAACGGCCUACCAAGGCGACGAUGCGUAGCCGACCUGAGAGGGUGACCGGCCACACUGGGACUGAGACACGGCCCAGACUCCUACGGGAGGCAGCAGUAGGGAA
rnacentral:rRNA from 1 species